CUAAGACAUGCGAGUCGAGCGUCUCUAGCUAUGUUGAGACGCGGCAGACGGCUCAGUAACACGUGGCUAACCUACCCUCAGGACAGGGACAAACCCGGGAAACUGGGGCUAAUACCAGAUAGGCGAAGACGCCUGGAAUGGUUCUUCACCCAAAGGACCUUGGAGACAUGCUUCCAAGUCGCCUGGGGAUGGGGCCGCGUCCGAUCAGGUUGUUGGUGGGGUAAUGGCUCACCAAGCCUAUAACCGGUACGGGCCGUGAGAGCGGUAGCCUGNAGAUGGGCACUGAGACAAGGGCCCAGGCCCUACGGGGCGCAGCAGUCGCGAAAACUCCGCAAUGCACGAAAGUGUGACGGGGGCUACCCCGAGUGCCGUCCGCUGAGGAUGGCUUUUCCCUCGUGUUACUAGCCGGGGGAANNUAGGANAGGGCCAGACUGGUGUCAGCCGGCCGCGGUA
rnacentral:rRNA from 1 species